rnacentral:rRNA from 1 species
GCUGUGGAACUCCUACGGGAGGCAGCAGUGGGGAAUUUUGGACAAUGGGGGCAACCCUGAUCCAGCAAUGCCGCGUGAGUGAAGAAGGCCUUCGGAUUGUAAAGCACUUUAAGUUGGGAGGAAGGGUUGUAGAUUAAUACUCUGCAAUUUUGACGGUACCUGAAGAAUAAGCACCGGCUAACUACGUGCCAGCAGCCGCGGUAAUACGUAGGGUGCAAGCGUUAAUCGGAAUUACUGGGCGUAAAGCGUGCGCAGGCGGUUGUGUAAGUCAGAUGUGAAAUCCCCGGGCUCAACCUGGGAAUUGCAUUUGAGACUGCACGGCUAGAGUGUGUCAGAGGGGGGUAGAAUUCCACGUGUAGCAGUGAAAUGCGUAGAUAUGUGGAGGAAUACCGAUGGCGAAGGCAGCCCCCUGGGAUAACACUGACGCUCAUGCACGAAAGCGUGGGGAGCAAACAGGAUUAGAAACCCCGGUAGUCAUACCACGU